AAAGACUUAGUCCUAACCUUACCAUUAAUUAUCAUUAGAUAUAUACAUGCAAGUAUCCGCACUCCAGUGUAAAUGCCCUCAUAAACUUCUACCCUACUAGAAGUAAGAGGAGCAGGUAUCAGGCACACCCUAUUCUCCUCGUAGUAGCCCAAGACACCUUGCUCAGCCACACCCCCACGGGCUUCCAGCAGUAAUUGACAUUAAGCCAUAAGUGAAAACUUGACUUAGUUAUAAUGACUCUAGGGCCGGUAAAUCUUGUGCCAGCCACCGCGGUCAUACAAGAGGCCCAAAUUAAUGGUACACGGCGUAAAGCGUGGAAACAUGUUAUCUAAUCAACUCGGACCAAAGUACACCUAAGCUGUCACAAGCCUAAGAGGUACCAAAACCCUACGUAAAAAUGGUCCCAGUGCUUACAGGGCCAAUUAUACUCCACGAAAGCUAAGAAACAAACUGGGAUUAGAUACCCCACUAUGCUUAGCCCUAAAUCUAGAUGUUUACCCCUACCAAAACAUCCGCCCGAGAACUACGAGCACAAACGCUUAAAACUCUAAGGACUUGGCGGUGCCCUAAACCCACCUAGAGGAGCCUGUUCUAUAAUCGAUACUCCACGAUACACCCGACCAUCCCUUGCCCAAACAGCCUACAUACCGCCGUCACCAGCCCGCCUAAAUGAGAGUAUAGUAGCGAGCACAACAGCCCUCCGCUAAUAAGACAGGUCAAGGUAUAGCGAAUGAGAUGGAAGAAAUGGGCUACAUUUUCUAAUAUAGAAUAAUUCUUCAACGAACAAGGUAAUGAAAACCCCUUAGAAGGCGGAUUUAGCAGUAAGAUGAAACCAGAAAGUUCACCUUAAACUGGCUCUAGGGCACGUACAUACCGCCCGUCACCCUCCUCACAAGCAACUAUCCACAUAAAUAAUGAUCUAAACCAAAGCUGAAGAUGAGGUAAGUCGUAACAAGGUAAGUGUACCGGAAGGUGUACUUAGCAUAU
rnacentral:ncRNA from 1 species